CCUACGGGAGGCAGCAGUGGGGAAUAUUGGGCAAUGGAGGAAACUCUGACCCAGCAAUGCCGCGUGAAUGAAGAAGGUCUUCGGAUUGUAAAGUUCUUUAGUCAGGGAAGAAUAAAAUGACGGUACCUGACGAAUAAGCUCCGGCUAACUACGUGCCAGCAGCCGCGGUAAUACGUAGGGAGCAAGCGUGGUUCGGAAUGACUGGGCGUAAAGGGUGCGUAGGCGGUUAUACAAGUUAGAAGUGAAAUAACGAGGGCUUAACCCGGGUGCUGCUUCUAAGACUGUAAGACUUGAGUGCAGGAGAGGUUAGUGGAAUGCCUAGUGUAGCGGUGGAAUGCGUAGAUAUUAGGCGGAACACCAGAGGCGAAGGCGGCAAACUGGACUGCAACUGACGCUGAGGCACGAAAGUGUGGGUAGCAAACAGGAUUAGAUACCCCGGUAGUC
rnacentral:rRNA from 1 species